rnacentral:lncRNA from 1 species
CACAGUCUUGCCUAUGCCAAAGAACUCAGAGAUUUCUGGCACACCCACGGCCCCCUCCAGGUCCUGCUUAUUGGCCAUGACCAGCAGGGGUGCCUCAGCCAGCUGCGAGCUGCUGCGCAUGCGGUCAAAGGCAGCCUUGCUUUCUGCAAAGCGGGCUGGGUUGGCAGCAUCCACAACGUAGAUGACGGCAUGGGAUUCAGCAUAGUACUUGUCCCAAAUUGACUGCAGAGCGGGUUGCCCACCCAGGUCCCACAGCACAAUGCUCUGGCCCUUGGCAUCCAGCCUGCCCACGUUCAGGCCCACCGUGGGCAGGAUCUUGCCUGGGUCCAGGCCCACCAGCGUGGUGUACAUGGUCUUCAGGUGCUCCAGC